AAAAUCUAACCUCAAAAUAAAGAGGUAGCCAAUCGCCAUAAGCCUAAAUUUUGUUGUUACUCAAUCUAGUCACCUAGCCAAGCAAGAAAAAUAAAAAUGCAAAAAUAAAAAAAAAAUAUUGAUUGCCCAUGCCAAAAAUUACAAGUCACCUUCAUAAUCUCCACCUAGAUAACCAAUCUUCAAUUUGUGGCCGUUGAGAAAUCGUAAGCCAAAUCCACAUAAUUUUUCUUACACUCACAACUAGUACUACUAUAAAGCUUAUCCCUUCACAUACUAUCUUCUUCAACCAAUUUUUGAAUAUAUUUAGCAAAUCAAGAAAGCUUAGUCUUUAGCUUCUUUGAUCAAGUUGUCAUCUCAGUAGUCAAGAUAAUGGCUACCUCAGUGUCAACCAUUGGAGCUGCCAACAAAGCACCGGUACUGUGUUUUUUUCUCAUCAUUCUCCUACACAUAUCAAUUUGUUUACUAAAUUUAGUAAUGAAUUCUUGUUUUUUCCUUUUAUUUUAGUUAAAAAUACUUAUGUUUCUCGGACUCUCCGGGUGCGUGUCGGAUCCUGCAUUUUUGGAGGAUCGAUUGUUCACUAAGAUUCCAGUAUUUCUUUUUUGGUCUGUCUUGAAUUAUUCCAUCUAAUUCCAUGUUAAGUUAUAAACUUGUAUCUUGAAUUUUCAAGCUUGAGGCUUUAUACUGUCAAAUUAUAUGUGAAAGACUUAGGGGUGGGAAUAGUAGCUGAAUCAUGUUAAUUUUCUCGGGCAAAUAACUGAAACUUGGAACCUUUUGUGAGUUCUUUGAUUAAGGAAUUAAGAAUAUUGAAUUUUGUAGGGGACUGGGUAAAGGGUAGCCCAGUGCAUUAAGCUCCCGUUAUGCGCGGAGUUCUGGGAAGGGCCGGACCACACGGUCUAUUGUAUGCAGCCUUACCCUGCAUUUCUACAAGAAGUUCUUUCCACGGCUCGAACCCGUGACCUAAUGGUCACAUGACAACAACUUUACCAGUUACGCCAAGGCUCCCCAUCUUGUAGAGAACUGACCAACAAAAAAAAUAAAGUUGAUGGAUAUUUGGGGGUGUUUGUGUUUUGAGUUUGAAAUAUAGGAUGCUAUAGUGAGGAUAUACUUCCCCCUAUGGUUUAUGAUUGAACCAGAAUCCGGUACUAGAAGCCAUGGUUACCUUCUUCAAGAUUUUACUACUUCCUUUGUUCCAUUUUAUAUGUCCCUCUUUUAACCUGUUCAAUAAAGAACUACACCUUUCUAUAUUUAGAAACUCUUCAACUUUCGACAUGUUCUUGUAGUGAUACAAUUGUCACGACAUGUUUUAUACCACAAGUUUUAAAAAUGCUUUUACUAUGUGCCAAAAGUCUUUAUUUCUUAAACUUUGUGCUCAAUCAAAUAUUGUUAUAUAAAAUGAAACAAAGGAAUAUGUUUCAGUGGGGUUUAAUAAGGGAACAUUCUUGAUGCAGUUGAGUUUGAACAACUCAGUUGCUGGAACUUCAGCUCCAAGCACGGCCUUCUUUGGCAAAACUUUGAAGAAAGUGUAUGCAAAAGGUAUUUCCAGCCCCAAGGUUACAAACAGGAGCUUGAGGAUUGCAGCUGAAGAAAAAGAUGCCGAUCCCA
rnacentral:lncRNA from 1 species